CACGUAGGGGCAAGCGUUGUCCGGAUUAUUGGCGUAAGAGCUCGUAGGCGGUUCGCUAAGUCGGUGUGAACUCUGGCUCAACUCAGAGACGCCACGAUACUGCGUGACUCGAGUCGUAGAGCAUGGAUCUGUGAUAGCGUGAUGACGCAGAUAUCAGAGACACAGUGCGACGUGCUCUGGCGUACUGACGCUGAGAGCGAAGCGUGUAGCAACAGG
rnacentral:rRNA from 1 species